AUGGCAUUAAGUAACUACUUGGACAGUAAAACAGUCUAAAUAGGUACCUAAACCUGUUGAUAAAGGAGUUUCACAGCGUAUUAAUCUAGGAGUUAAUAGUGCAAUCUGACACUGAUCCGGUCUGCCAAACAGUGUAUCAGCUACUGAAGAAAAAGGGAAAUCAUCUUGAGCCUUCCGGGGUCCACCCGUGUCGGCUGGACCCAUCUCUAUAUUGGCUAUAUAACCAGGUAGACGCCUAAGACGUUACCUAACCUGUGGCCUAAGGCGACAGAUGGCAUUAACUACUUGGCCGGACAAAUGGGGAGCGCUGAAGGCUCUCACCCGGUACAACGUUUAAGACAACAGGCCUGAGGGUGCCCAGUUGGGCGCGAACCUCGGCUCAGGGCGUCGUCUGAGAGGAAAAAUAUUUGAAAAAAUUAAUCGACCCUAGUGGGUCGAUAGCGAUAAGCGCUGAAUGAGGGAAAUCGUCGACCACGCCGGCGGGGUCGGUAUCGGGGACCUGAAGUGUUUGGUGUCGCGAGCUGAUUGGCUGCCUCUAUGGCUAGAGUAA